UACGUAGGGUGCGAGCGUUUGUCCGGAAUUAUUGGGCGUUAAAAGGGCUCGUAGGCGGUUUGUCGCGUCGGGAGUGAAAUCCACUGGCUUAACUGGUGGCUUGCUUUCGAUACGGGCAGACUGGAGGUAUGCAGGGGAGAACGGAAUUCCUGGUGUAGCGGUGAAAUGCGCAGAUAUCAGGAGGAACACCUGAGGUGAAGACGGGUUGCUGGGCUGACACUGACGUGAAGCGCGAAAGCUAGGGGGAGCAAACGGG
rnacentral:rRNA from 1 species